AAAAUUUUAGUUUAAGUAAAACUUUUCUUUUACACUGAAACGAUUAAAAUUGAUUUUGAAAUUUUA
rnacentral:tRNA from 1 species